GCUCAGUAACACGUGGUUAAUCUGCCCUUGGGUGAGGAAUAUUCCCGGGAAACUGGGGCUAAUACCUCAUAGUGGAUAUAGCCUGGAAUGAUAUAUCCUCGAAAGAUUUAUCGCCUAAGGAUGAGACUGCGUCCGAUUAGGUUGUUGGUGGGGUAACGGCCCACCAAGCCUUUUAUCGGUACGGGUUGUGGGAGCAAGAUCCCGGAGAUGGAUUCUGAGACAUGAAUCCAGGCCCUACGGGGCGCAGCAGGCGCGCAAACUUUACAAUGCGAGCAAUCGUGAUAAGGAAACCCUGAGUGCCUGUCGAUGCAGGCUGUUCAUAUAUUUAAAUUGUAUGUGAAGAAAGGGCAGGGCAAGACCGGUGCCAGCCGCCGCGGUAAUACCGGCUGCUCGAGUGAUGGCCACUAUUACUGGGUUUAAAGCGUCCGUAGCUUGAUUUUUAGGUCUCUUGGGAAAUCUUUUGGCUUAACCACAAGGCGUCUAAGAGAUACCGGGAAUCUUGGAACUGGGAGAGGCAAGCCGUACUUCGGGGGUAGGAGUGAAAUCUUGUAAUCCUCGAGGGACGACCUAUGGCGAAGGCAGCUUACCAGAACAGCUUCGACAGUGAGGGACGAAAGCUGGGGGAGCAAACGGGAUUAGAUACCCCGGUAGCCCCAGCCGUAAACAAUGUGCGUUAGGUGUGUCGGUUACCACGCGUAACUGAUGCGCCGAAGAGAAAUCGUGAAACGCACCACCUGGG
rnacentral:rRNA from 1 species